GUCUACUUGAAGCUAUAAGUAGUCUGGCCUGCUCACUGAUAAAAUUAUUUAAGAGCCGCGGUAUAUUGACCGUGCAAAGGUAGCAUAAUCAUUAGAGGUUUAAUUGGAAUCUGGUAUGAAUGGUCGGACAAAGGAAAAACUGUCUUUAUAAUAAAAAUUGAAAUUUACAUUUAAGUGAAAAGGCUUAAAUAGGCCAGGGGGACGAUAAGACCCUAUAAAGCUUUAUAAAUAAUUUAAAUUUAGUUAAUUUAAAUUAUAAAAGCUAAGUUUGGUUGUUUUAUUUUGUUGGGGUGAUGUGAGCAUAAUUAAAAUUAACUGCUUAAAAAAAAUUCUGUAUAAAAGAAUUAUAGUAAUAUGAUCCUUUUUAAAGAUUAAAAGACUAAGUUACUUUAGGGGUAACAGCGUUAUUUCUUUUGAGAGUUCAUAUCGAAAAAGAAGAUUGCGACCUCGAUGUUGAAUUAGAGUAUCUAUAUAAUGCAGCCGUUAUAAAAGAGGGUCUGUUCGACCUUUAAAUUUUUACAUGAUUUGAGUUCAGACCGGCGUGAG
rnacentral:rRNA from 1 species